AUUGAACGCUGGCGGCAGGCCUAACACAUGCAAGUCGAGCGGAUGAAGGGAGCUUGCUCCUGGAUUCAGCGGCGGACGGGUGAGUAAUGCCUAGGAAUCUGCCUGGUAGUGGGGGAUAACGUCCGGAAACGGGCGCUAAUACCGCAUACGUCCUGAGGGAGAAAGUGGGGGAUCUUCGGACCUCACGCUAUCAGAUGAGCCUAGGUCGGAUUAGCUAGUUGGUGGGGUAAAGGCCUACCAAGGCGACGAUCCGUAACUGGUCUGAGAGGAUGAUCAGUCACACUGGAACUGAGACACGGUCCAGGCUCCUGCGGGAGGCAGCAGUGGGGAAUAUUGGGCAAUGGGCGAAAGCCUGAUCCAGCCAUGCCGCGUGUGUGAAGAAGGUCUUCGGAUUGUAAAGCACUUUAAGUUGGGGGGAAGGGCAGUAAGUUAAUACCUUGCUGUUUUGACGUUACCAGCAGAAUAAGCACCGGCUAACUUCGUG
rnacentral:rRNA from 1 species